UUGAAAGAGUGGCUAGCAGUGUUACACAUGUGAUCAGUUUGGUGUUUUUUGUACUAAGAGAAAAUGUACACUUUACGUGCAGAAGUGCACAAAAUGUGAUAUCAUUCUGUUUUGAAUGUGUUUUAUCAGUUUGGAAAGUAGUGUGUUAACAUUUGACAAAAAUGCUGCAAAUAUAUUUCAGGUGGUGGAGUAUGAAUGACAAAAGUGUUCAUGGGUUUUAGGAGACGCGGUUCUCACAGACUUCUGUUUCGCUGACUGAGUUUUGACAGUGGAUUCAGUUUUGACCAGUGCGUGUAACCAAUUGAAAAAAAGGUCUUUUUGUGUGAAUUUGCUUCAUGUACUCCUGGCUUUGAGACGGAGUUGCUGGUGUUUAAAGUGCACAGAGAUCACCUUCACCAAGGAACAAUACUAGGAAGAGUAAUUUUUAAUACAUGCGAUGGAAGAACAGG